rnacentral:lncRNA from 1 species
GAGGUUGAAAAAACUCUCAAUUCGGUCUUAUUUCUUAAAAUUCAUCAUGAAAUCUCUUAAUGAGCUCAAUAAAGAAUGAAAUGUACACGAGUAUCACACAAAACAAAUCAUUGUCUUAACAAAAGCUUCAUUAUUGCCAAUGUUUGAAAAUUUUAAAAGCAAUUCUACGAAGUUCCUUUGCACAUGUAUACACAUUCUCUCUCUUAAUAUCCCCUUUUUCUUUGAGCAAUGAAAUCCCUUAGAUGUUUUGCACGAGCGCUUUCAGAUGAAUUUUCGAAUUCACAUUGUAGGGCCUGCCUAAGAAUCAAGUAAUACUUGUAAUUUUCAAACUUUAUCAGAUCAAAAUCGUUAUCAGAUAUAGAAAGGUAUUUUCCCCUUAUUGAAAUAUUUUCAUGAAUGCAAGGGGGAGGGGAAAAACAAAAAGAAAAAUACCCAGAGUUAGUAAUCAAGACUAUAAAAUCGGUAUGCAUGCCCUAUGGGGGAACCCUUUUUAUGUCAAGGGUAGGCCUAGCAUGAAGAUGCAAUCCUCUAGGGUAGGCACCGUACCCUACCUGAUGAAUCCGAUCAAUUGAUUGAGUGAAAAACGAUUUGAAAAUUUUGGCCAAUUUGGAGUGAGAAGAAACAUUCGUCCUAAAAAAUGAGGACAAAGUCCGAAUGAAUUGCUUAUUUUGAUCGACGCAUGAUGUGUCAAAAGGGGUAAAAUGGUCAAAUUCAUUGAAUGAAAUUUGAUUAUUUAUUGAAAAUUGAAUGGAUAACCCUGAAAAAUGGAUUAACUAAUCAAAUGAAUUGAAUGAAAUCAAUUGAUCAAGCGGAUCGAGUGAAAUGAUGAUUUAUUCAAAAUCGACCGAAUUGCCCUAAAAUAGGUAAACUGGUCAAAUGGAUCGAAAAAUUGACUAAAUCACCCUAAAAAAGGUAAAUUGGUCAAAUGAAAUUGAACGAAUCUGAUGAUUUGAAUUUAUUCAAAAUUGAUUGAAUUGACCUAAAAAUGGGUAAACUAAUCAAAUGAAUUGAAUGAAAUUGGUGAUCUUAUUCAAAAAUCGACUAGAUUGCCCUAAAAUGGAUAAACUAGUCAAAUGAAUUCAAAAUCAACUAGGUUGCCCUAAAAAUGAACAAAUUGAUAAAAUGGACUGGAUGAAAUUGAUGAAUCAAAUGAUCCAAUGGACUGAAUGGCUUGAUGCAUUAGUCUAUGAGCCUUCUAAAAUCAAAUUUUGGCCUCAGUUUAUUUAUCGUCUCAAUAACGAGGAAUUGUUUUUGAAUUUCUUCACAUUAAUGUCCUUUUUGCAAGGGAUUUUUACCAAUUUGAUAAAAUGGCCAAAAAGUGAUUAUUAGACGCUCAUAUUCCAAAGAUCGCUCAAGGAAAAUGAUCGGAUCCUACCUUACCUUGUGCACUACCCCUUUGGAUGGUACAAAAUGUAAACGUGCAAGUCUCCUUGGAUUAAGUAUCCGAGACACAAGGUGGUUUAUUCAUAGCACGGGAUCGCCUAAAUGGCAUUCCCUUUCUAGGGUUUAUGCAUGAUGCCAUUUUAUUAAAGCAGUAAAACAUGCAAUUUGAAAUGAAAUCAUGACCUAAAAGGACCUUUUAUACGCCAAGGUAGGCCUAGAAUGAUAUGCAAUUACUAAUCUAUGAAUGUAAUAUACCAAAAUCUUUAAACGUGCAAUAGCCUAUCUAUAAGGAUAGGUUCUAAAAGAAGGUCAUGUCAGACCUCUUAUUUGCUAGGGUUUGUGAAUGCAAUGGGGACACAAAACCAAGAAAAGUUAGCUCAGCCGGAUAAAUACACAUAACACAUCGUAGCAACGAAAUCAACACAAAGAAAUAAAUCAAUAAAAAGGAGAAAGGGAUUGGACCCCUCCCCUCGUGAAUAAUGUCCCUAAUAAGGCAAGGCAGACUCUACCCUAGGCAAGCUAUCAUGGAUGCAUGAGGUAUUGGCUCACUAAUGCAUCUAGACUCGAUAGGUUUUAGGUCCCCGAGCCUUCAGACUUGGAAACCAAGGGUCAUCAAUCCCAAGGUUCUUUGUCUGUGGCUCGAGCGAUUCCCUAGACAUUGCUACGCACACAUCGUGUCACGGCUACAUGUCAUGAGUGAAUCUAUCAAAAAUCCUCAACCUUCGACUAAAAGCUAAAGGCUAUGAACCCAAAGCUUAAAAUGGAAGAUUGAGUGACCCCUCGGAUCAUGCUACGCACACAUCGUGUCGUGCUCACACGUCCAAGUGAGUCGCCUAAAAUCCUAAUAAGGUGGAGUGGCGUGACAAGCCACUAAAAGAAAAAUAAAUUAAAUGUGAAAAAUUAAAGCGUAUGCACGUAUGCUAGUGCUCGUUUGGAGGGAAGGGAUCAAGAACCAACGCGAGGCUCUAGGGUAAUGUCCCCCCACCCAAAUGCAAUGCAAAGCGUGAGAUAAAACAAGUACAACAUACAUCCAAACAACCAAUCAUACAUACGCAAGUGAGGGAAUAGUUUGAUACGCGCGCGAGGCAAAAGGCCCUAAAAUGGAAAAUGCAACCCUAAUAUCCAAAUGCUAUACAUAAAAAGGGUAGAAAAAGGAAAAGAAUAGCUAAAUCGAAUGCUUGGACCCACUUAGGAAGUCCCCAGUGGAGUCGCCAACUGUCGCGCUCCACUUUUUGAAUGUGUGAAAGUAGUGUGUGGAAUAUGUAUGUGAAUGUGUGUGAAAAUGAAAAUAAAAGGCCGUGGGACUUGAAAAUGCGACGAUUUGGCCAAACAGAGUUCAAAAAGGGUUUAUUGCAUGGAAAAUGGAGUCCCCACUUGGUAUAGAGUUAGGGUGUACCAAGUCACCCAAAAAAAUGAAUUUUUUGAAAAGCAAAGUAAACAAACCCCUUUUUAAGAACUUUUAGGUCUACGUAACCAAAAAAAGGGAUCGGGGGUCACAUUUGAUAAGGGAGAAGGCAAAGGCAAAGCCUAAGGCACUCCCUUAACCUAGCCAAGGCUAGUUGCGCGAUUUAGCCCCACAUUUCCUAAUUCUUCUACCCAAAAUAUGCGUUGCAUGUUGGAUAUGACUAAUGGAUAUGGCAAGGAAAUGCAAUCCUAAAUCUAAAAUGUCUCUUACGAGACUUUUUGGUCCCAACCACAUGAGUUGUGGUGGCCAAUAAGGAAAGUCCUCAUAGAGGUCGCGAAUGAUGCAAAUGAAGACUCAAAUAUGAGUGCAAGUGUGAAAAUGUAAGAAAACGUGCAUGUGUGCGAAUGUAAGACAAGUGCAUGUGUGCAAACUGGGAAAAUAAAAGUGUUUGUGUGCAAAUGGAUGAAACUAUGAUAGUAGAUACAUAUAAGUGCAAUUGGGUGCAAUUUGUGAGGCAGGAAAACAAAUGACAAGAAAAAAAAUGUGUGAACAUGGCAUUUGUAUUGAGAAGGAUAUAAGUAGUGAGAAAAUGUGGAUAAGAGGGUGAGGGAGUGACAUGAUGAGAGUGUAUGAACCUAUAGGAAUGCAUCAAGUCGGGUACGGGAAUGACUCCUAACUUCAUGACUUUAAUUUUCCCUUUGAUUAGAAGAAAGAACUAGCGUGCUAAGGCUAUUUUGUAACCACACUCGCUCGUUUCCCUUACCUAAAGGGGACUCUCAAGCAAAUAUACCCUAUAACUAGCAUGAGGAUGCAAAAACCUAAAAUGAAAGGGAAAGGGUUGGAGGGGCAUGCCAAAUGCUAGAAAACUAAGAAAAAUGCAUG